AUGGGCUCCCUGCUGAUGCCACUGCUGGGCAGCGUGGCCGGCGACGCGCUGGUCGGCGAGCUGCUGCGGGCGUGGGGGCUGGACAAGGCCCGCCGGAAGCUGGAGCGCCACCUCGCCGCCGUCCAGUGCAUCUUGCUGGACGCCGACGCCAAGAGCCGCACCAACCCCGCCGUCCGUCGAUGGAUCAAGGACCUCAAGACCGCCGCCUGCCAAGCCGACGACGUCCUCGACGACUUCCGCCACGAGGCCCUGCGCCGCCGUGUUGGCGCCCAGAGCCACUCCCGCUCCACGCCGGGCAAGGUGCUGACGUACCUCACAAUCAAUAGCCCGGUUGUUUUCCGUCUUCACAUGAGUUGGAAGUUGAAGGGUGCCCUUCAAACGAUUGGUGAACUUGUCGCGGAGAUGAAUAAUUUCCACUUCUUACAACAUGCUGAGGCACCAAGCGUUGUUCGUCCGCAAACACACUCUCUUGUCGAUGAAUCAGAGAUUGUGGGCAGACAAGAUGAGAGGGAACAAGUGGUGAAGAUAUUGCUCGACCACAACAACAGUAGCCAUAAUAAUGUCAUGGUGCUCCCCGUUGUUGGUAUGGGGGGAAUUGGUAAGACCACCCUUGCUCAACUUGUGUACAAUGACCACCGAGUCAUCCACCAUUUUGAGUUGGUCAUAUGGGUUUGUGUCUCUGACAAGUUCAUCAUCCAAGAAAUAAUCCGAUCUGUAAUAGAAGUGGUCAUGAUGAAGAAGUGUGAUCUGACUCAGAUGGAGGCACUGCAGAAGAAACUUAGUGAGGCGUUGGGCAAGAAAAAGUACCUCCUAGUGUUGGAUGAUGUUUGGAACGAAGAUAGACAAAAGUGGGACGAUAUGAGAUCUUCGUUAUGCUCACAUGCUGGCUCAGGCAGUGCUAUAGUUGUGACAAGCCGCAGCAGUCAAGUUGCUUCUAUCAUGGGCACACUUCCUCCACAUCAAAUUUCACUUCUAGAUGAGGAUCAAUCAUGGGACCUUUUCCACAAAAACACAUUUGGAAGGGGAGUGGAAAAGCGAGAGGAAUUGGUUUCAAUGGCUAAGAGUAUUGUCCACAAGUGCAAGGGAUUGCCUCUUGCUAUCAAGACCAUGGCAGCUUUACUCUCUUCGAAGCAUCACAGUCAGUGGCUUUCUGUUCUAGAUAGUGAUGUUUGGAAAGAUAACAUCGUCACAACUACUGGGAUUGUACCUGCACUACAACUAAGCUAUGAUCACUUGUCAUCGGAGGAAAAAAUAUGUUUUUCCUUUUGUGCUAUUUUCUCCAAAGAUAGCCUGAUGGAUAAAGACAUGUUAGUCCAGAUAUGGAUGGCAAAUGACUUUAUUGCAUCAGAAACAAGAGGCCACCAAAUUUUUGAUGUGCUAGUUUGGAGAUGUUUCCUACAAGAUGUAAAGAUUGACAAGGAUGACUUAAUCCACAGAGUAACUACUUGCAAGAUGCAUGAUCUCAUGCAUGAUCUUGCUGAUUCCGUAAGCAGAAAUGUUUGCUUCAUUCUGGAAGAAUCUUCACCAUGUCAAGAAAUUCUGCAAGGAUCCACAUACACCAAUUCAUUACAGCAUGAGGUUCAACAUUUGUCACUUGAUUGUGUCAGUAACAAUACUAUUGCAGUAAUGAAGGAAAUUCUAGCUCCCCAAGCCCGCACAAUAUUAAUCCGAAGGGGGUUGGAGUGGCGUAAGACUUCUCUGCAUAUGAACAAGUCUCUGAGUAUGGCCAUGUCAAAAUUCAUGUCCCUACGAGCACUGAAGACAUUGUCAAUCAUAACAGACAUGAAAAACUUCAAGCAUCUUCGCUAUCUAGAUUGUUCUUAUUCUCGUUUAUCUGCACUGCCUGAAACCACUGCCAUGUUGUAUAGCUUGCAGACUUUGAAGCUCAUUGGUUGUAAAGAACUUAAGAAAUUACCAGAAGGCAUGAGAUAUAUGAUCAGCCUUCGGCACAUCUUCCUCAUUGGGUGCAAUCGUUUGGAGUACAUGCCACAAGGUAUCAAUCAGCUGAAUUCUCUGCAGACACUGACGAGUUACGUCAUUGAUAGUGAUGCAGGUCGUGGAAUUGAUCAACUGAAAGAUUUGAGUCUUGGUGGUGCUCUUUCUUUGACUGAGUUGAGAAAAGUGCAUAGUGCAGAAAAUGCUAAAGAGGGCAGUAUAUCCUCCAAGCAUAAUUUGAAACGAUUAUCACUCAACUGGUAUGCACAUUAUAAUACAGAUAUUGGAAAUUAA
rnacentral:rRNA from 1 species